UACGAGAGGCCCAAACGUUAUUCGGAAUUACUGGGCUUAAAGAGCGCGCAGGCGGUCGUUCAAGUCGCGUGUGAAAGCCCCCGGCUCAACUGGGGAGGGUCACGCGAUACUGAUCGACUCGAAGGCAGGAGAGGGAAGUGGAAUUCCCGGUGUAGUGGUGAAAUGCGUAGAUAUCGGGAAGAACACCUAUGGCGAAGGCAGCUCUCUGGGACGGUACUGACGCUGAGACGCGAAAGCGUGGGGAGCGAACAGG
rnacentral:rRNA from 1 species